rnacentral:rRNA from 1 species
AUGAUAGAAAAACUGCUAGCUAAUCCAUUUGCAGGAGAUGGAACAUUGCAUCCCGAUUUACACCUUAUGUUUGUGGAUGAAAUUUGUGGAUUAUUUAAGCUUGCAUGUAUUCCCGAUGAUGUUGUCAAAGGGAAGGUCUUCCCUUUAUCUUUGAAGGGAGAUGCAUUGACAUGGUAUAGGCUAUGUGAUGAUACGAGAUCUUGGAAUUAUAAGCGAUUGAAGUUGGAAUUUCACCAGAAGUUCUAUCCUAUGCAUCUUGUUCAUCAUGAUCGUAAUUACAUAUAUAAUUUCUGUCUUCGCGAAGGAGAAAUCAUCGCUCAAGCUUGGGGGAGGCUUAAGUCAAUGUUAUAUUCAUGCCCCAAUCAUGAGCUCUCUCGGGAAAUGAUUAUUCAGAAUUUUUAUGCUCGUCUUUCUCUUGAUAAUCGCAACCUGCUCGAUACUUUCUGUGCUGGUUCUUAUAUGCUAAAGACUAUUGAUUUCAAAUGGGACUUAUUGGAAAGAAUUAAACGUAACUCUGAAUUGGGUUCCGACGAUGGUAAGGAGUCAGAGAAAGAAGAAGAAAGAUUAUUGAAAACUCUGAAGAAGCACCGAGCAGCUAUUGGAUAUACUCUGGAUGAUCUUAAGGGCGUUAGUCCCACAUUAUGCCAACACAAAAUUACAUUGGAGGACGAUGCCAAACCAGUUAGAGAUCCUCAAAGACGAUUAAAUCCCAAGAUGAAGGAAGUGGUAAGAAAGGAGAUACUAAAGCUCCUUGAGGCAGGUAUUAUUUAUCCCGUUGCUGAUAGUGAAUGGGUAAGCCCUGUCCAUUGUGUUCCUAAAAAGGGAGGUAUUACCGUUGUUCCUAAUGAUAAAGAUGAAUUGAUCCCGCAAAGAACUAUUACAGGUUAUAGGAUGGUAAUUGAUUUCCGUAAGUUAAAUAAAGCUACUAAGAAAGAUCAUUACCCCUUAGCUUUUAUUGAUCAAAUGCUAGAAAGACUAUCCAAACACACACAUUUCUGCUUUCUAGAUGGUUAUUCUGGUUUCUCUCAGAUACCUGUGUCGGUGAAGGAUCAAUCUAAAACUACUUUUACUUGCCCUUUUGGUACUUUUGCUUAUAGACGUAUGCCUUUUGGUUUAUGUAAUGCACCUUCUACCUUUCAAAGAUGCAUGAUAUUCUCUGAUUUUUGUGAAAAGAUUUGUGAGGUAUUCAUGGAUGAUUUUUCCGUUUAUGGAUCCUCUUUUGAUGAUUGUUUGAGCAACCUUGAUCGAGUUUUGCAGAGAUGCGAAGACACUAGUCUCGUCCUGAAUUGGGAAAAGUGUCACUUUAUGGUUAAUGAAGGCAUUAUCUUGGGGCACAAGAUCUCUGAGAGAGUUAUUGAAGUUUAUAAAGCCAAAGUUGAUGCUAUUGAAAAAAUGCCAUGUCCCAAGGACAUAAAAGGUAUAAGAAGUUUCCUCGGUCAUGCCGGUUUUUAUAGGAGGUUCAUUAAGGACUUUUCUAAAAUCUCUAGGCCUCUGACUAAUUUAUUGCAAAAAGAUAUUCCUUUUGUCUUUGAUGAUGAUUGUGUAGAAGCAUUUGAAAUACUUAAGAAAGCUUUGAUCACUGCACCUAUUGUUCAGCCACCUGAUUGGAAUUUACCUUUUGAAAUUAUGUGCGAUGCUAGUGACUAUGCUGUAGGUGCUGUUCUAGGGCAAAGAGUCGAUAAGAAAUUGAACAUUAUCCAGUAUGCUAGUAAGACUCUUGAUACUGCCCAGAGAAAUUAUGCUACUACUGAAAAAGAGUUCUUAGCAGUUGUGUUUGCAUGUGAUAAGUUUAGACCUUAUAUUGUUGAUUCCAAAGUUACUAUUCACACUGAUCAUGCUGCUAUUAAAUAUCUUAUGGAAAAGAAAGAUGCUAAGCCUAGACUCAUUAGAUGGGUUCUCUUGCUCCAAGAAUUUGACUUGCAUAUUAUUGAUAGAAAGGGAGCUGAGAACCCCGUUGCAGAUAACUUGUCUAGGUUAGAGAAUGUUCUUGAUGACCCACUGCCUAUUAAUGAUAGUUUCCCUGAUGAGCAAUUAGCGGUCGUCAAUGCUUCUCGUACUGCUCCUUGGUAUGCCGAUUAUGCUAAUUAUAUUGUUGCUAAAUAUAUACCGCCUAGUUUCACAUACCAGCAAAAGAAAAAGUUCUUUUAUGAUUUAAGACAUUACUUCUGGGAUGAUCCACACCUUUAUAAAGAAGGAGUAGAUGGUGUUAUUAGACGUUGUGUGCCUGAGCGUGAACAGGAACAGAUCCUACGCAAGUGUCACUCUGAAUCUUAUGGAGGACACCACGCUGGAGAUAGAACUGCACACAAGGUACUACAAUCUGGUUUUUAUUGGCCUACUCUCUUCAAAGAUGCUCGUAAGUUUGUCUUAUCUUGUGAUGAAUGCCAAAGAAUAGGUAACAUUAGUAGACGUCAAGAAAUGCCUAUGAAUUAUUCUCUUGUUAUUGAACCGUUUGAUGUUUGGGGCUUUGAUUAUAUGGGACCUUUUCCUACUUCUAAUGGUUAUACACAUAUUUUAGUUGCUGUUGAUUACGUUACUAAGUGGGUAGAAGCUAUUCCAACUAGUAGUGCUGAUCAUAACACUUCUAUUAAAAUGCUUAAAGAAGUUAUUUUUCCGAGGUUUGGAGUCCCUAGAUAUCUUAUGACUGAUGGUGGUUCACAUUUUAUUCAUGGUACUUUCCGUAAGAUGCUUGCUAAGUAUGAUGUCAAUCAUAGAAUCGCAUCUCCUUAUCAUCCGCAGUCUAGUGGUCAAGUAGAGUUGAGCAAUAGAGAGCUCAAAAUAAUUUUGCAAAAGACUGUGAAUAGAUCUAGAAAGAAUUGGUCCAAAAAACUUGAUGAUGCAUUAUGGGCCUAUAGAACUGCAUACAAAAAUCCUAUGGGUAUGUCUCCAUAUAAGAUGGUUUAUGGAAAAGCGUGUCAUUUACCUCUUGAACUUGAACAUAAGGCAUAUUGGGCUAUUAAAGAGAUCAACUAUGACUUCAAACUUGCCGAUGAGAAGAGGUUAUUUGAUAUUAGCUCACUUGAUGAAUGGAGAACCCAAGCAUAUGAGAAUGCCAAGCUAUUCAAAGAAAAAGUCAAACGCUGGCAUGAUAAGAGGAUACAAAAGCGUGAGUUUAACGCAGGAGAUUAUGUAUUAUUAUUCAACUCCGGUUUAAGAUUUUUUGCAGGAAAACUUCUCUCAAAAUGGGAAGGUCCUUACGUUAUCGAGGAGGUCUAUCGUUCUGGUGCCAUAAAAAAUCAACAACUUUGA